CAUCAAAAUCUAGCUCAGUCCUGGCACAUCCAUGGCACACAUUGCAUUGUAGAAUGGAGCCUCUUUUUAUACAUGGACAGCGCCACUAAUUAUGUUCAGUUACACAAAGAGGAACAUUUUGGCAUUAAAAAAAAUGUUGCGAAAUAAAAACGAGACAUAAAACAGGAGCGAAUAGAUAAGCAACACUCUCUGAACAUGACUCCCAUUGUUUCUGUUUCUUCACUUCCACAUACUAUGG